AUGGACGUGAGACAGGAUGUCUUCUGGCUUGUCCGCUGUGGGUUAUGCACCCACCUCUUCUAUGAGAGGGGAAUCCAAGGUCACUGCGAUUUCCAGCAAGAGAAGGGCUGUGUGCAUCUUGGGCGUGGGGGCACCUGCAUGGACCCGGAGGCCAAGCCAGCCUAUUCUGGUCCUCAAGGAGCAGCUCCCUUUGCCUAUCAUCAGAGAAAAAAAAGAGUGCCAUCCAGGUCCAGCCAAAAUGCAGCAAUAACCAGACUAUUCCACGGAGGAGAGAGCUGUCCCUGGCAGCCAUCUGAGAGAUGGGAACUGGUCUUUAUCAUUCAGAAUGGGAUCAAAAGAACCAUAUGUGACCUGAAUAAGAAAAGGAAAAUAGGAUUCUGAGUUUACUGGAUUUUGGAAUGUCUUCCUUGGGAAGAGGGUAAGUGAAUUCUCUAUGUGAGAGGGAGAGUGACCAGAUUAUUUGGAGAAAAGAAAGGGACUAUGGUGGACAUGACACAAUUCUCAUUUCAUUCUGGGCACAUAGAAGACCAUGUUUCCUAGACCCCUUGCUUUUAGAAAGGAUAUGUGGUUACUUCUAGCCAAUGGCAUCACUUUUAAGCCAAAGAAUAAAAAAAUGAUGUGGUUAUCCCUAUGUGCUUUUCACCUCCUUCAUUGGCAUGAGUUUCGGAUCAUAUACCAACAAGAUCAUGGUGCGUCCAUCAGCCUUGCCCUAUGUGCCUAGUAAAGCAGUUCGAUGUUUGAUGCAACAAAUCUUUACUUAUUGAACUCUUAACUAUGGGGUUAAAUUUAUCACCGCAGCAUUACUAUGUUAUCCUACCCUCUCAGGUUUUCUAUAAAUUAAUUUUUCCGGAAUAGAACCCUUUUAAUGUAAUGCUGCUAUGUUCAGGAGUAAUGUCUUCCUAUUGCUAUUGGUCACAGAUCAGUCCCUAGGAAGAGACUCUGAGAUAGAGGGUUUCUGUGGGAAUAGAGCAAAGGCAGGAAUGGAAAGGAAAAGCUGGAUCAAAAAAAUCGUUGCAACUGAGCGUCAAC
rnacentral:lncRNA from 1 species